rnacentral:rRNA from 1 species
CCUACGGGUGGCAGCAGUGAGGAAUAUUGGUCAAUGGGCUUACGCCUGAACCAGCCAAGUCGCGUGAGGGAAGACUGCCCUAUGGGUUGUAAACCUCUUUUGUCAGGGAGCAAUUUGCGCUAAGUGUAGCUUUCUCGAUAGUACCUGCAGAAAAAGCAUCGGCUAACUCCGUGCCAGCAGCCGCGGUAAUACGGCGGGGGCAAGCGUUAUCCGGAUUUACGGGGUGUAAAGGGAGCGUAGACGGCAGUGCAAGUCUGGAGUGAAAGGCGGGGGCUCAACCCCCGGACUGCUCUGGAAACUGGAAGGCUGGAGUGCAGGAGAGGUAAGUGGAAUUCCUAGUGGAGCGGUGAAAUGCGUAGAUAUUAGGAGGAACACCAGUGGCGAAGGCGGCUUACUGGACUGUAACUGACGUUGAGGCUCGAAAGCGUGGGGAGCAAACGGGAUUAGAUACCCCAGUAGUC